rnacentral:rRNA from 1 species
UACGUAGGGUGCGAGCGUUAAUCGGAAUUACUGGGCGUAAAGGGUGCGCAGGCGGCUCCGCAUGUCGGGCGUGAAAUCCCCGGGCUUAACCUGGGAAUUGCGUCCGAAACUAUGGAGCUGGAGUGUGGCAGAGGGAGGUGGAAUUCCACGUGUAGCGGUGAAAUGCGUAGAUAUCGUCUGGAACGCCAAAGGUGAAAACAGACUGCUGGGAGUGUGCUGACGCUGAGACACGAAAGCCAGGGGAGCAAACGGG